rnacentral:rRNA from 1 species
GACGAACGCUGGCGGCGUGCUUAACACAUGCAAGUCGAGCGAUGAAGCACCUUCGGGUGUGAAUUAGCGGCGAACGGGUGAGGAACACGUGAGAAAUCUGCCUUCAACUCUGGGAUAACUCCGUGAAAACGGGGCUAAUACCGGAUAUGAAACCUGCGGGCAUCCGCGGGUUUGGAAAGUUUUUCGGUCGAAGAUGAUCUCGCGGCCUAUCAGCUUGUUGGUGAGGUAAUGGCUCACCAAGGCGACGACGGGUAGCCGGCCUGAGAGGGCGACCGGCCACACGGGGACUGAGACACGGCCCAGACUCCUACGGGAGGCAGCAGUGGGGAAUAUUGGGCAAUGGAGGAAACUCUGACCCAGCGACGCCGCGUGCGGGAUGAAGGCCUUCGGGUUGUAAACCGCUUUCAGCAGGGAAGAAGCGAAAGUGACGGUACCUGCAGAAGAAGCACCGGCUAACUAUGUGCCAGCCGCCGCCGUAA